CAGCCACACCGGCCCUUUGUGGAUGAUUUUGGAGAUGGCUGCUUUAGAGGAAACCGGCUGAGUAGAGGAGCCUUGAUUUCUUAGGUGUUUUGGACUUUUUACAAGAGCAUUAAUAUGAAUUUAAGAUCAGUUCAUAAACAUAAAUAAACUCUACAUUGGAGCUUUAACAGUGUAUGGACAAAGUCUAUAGUAGAUGUUACCACAUAUAGAGAAUGAGUUGAGGUAUAAGGGCAGUUUGGACUCUAUUUCAGAUACAACAACCUCCUGUAAGCUAAUAUUCUCAAAAUCGCUGCAUAUUUUAACUACUUACCCUUGAACUAUUUUAAAAUAUUGAUCAGUUAUAACUCUUUUUAAUUGAAGGAUCCCCUCGCAGCUGAAGCCCUUUCACUUUGACAACAAUCACAAGGGAGGGAUACCGACCUCUGCGCUGAUUUACUUCCACUGAAGGCUAAAGAAAAAAACAGUUCACUGCUGUAACUUGUGAAAUCUUGUAAUUAUCCCCUUGUGUUUUUAAAUCAGGAAAUGAAAUCGUCUCUUAUACUUAUAUCAUAUCUGUCUUCUUUGCACACCAGGCUGAUAAUUUGCCUGCUGAGGAUCCUGAACCCUCUUCACGGAGUUCUGAGGAAACACUGCAGGCUGUCAAUAAGUGGUCAAGUACUGCCGGCUGUUAGGUUUUUGACCCGCUAAUAACAAGCCUGUCCCGAACUGCCAUGUCUGCAUAAAACAACACUGCAGCGAGCCGAAAUGACGGCUCAUCAAUGCCGUUUAAGUGGCCUUAAAUUAAGGUGGGAUGGGGCUUUUUAAUGUAAAGUUGAUGCUCUGAUGACAAGAUAAGACUCCCAUUAAUUUCACGCUUGAUGUCUUUUCAUUUUUGUUAACCCCAUCGUGACCUGGGCUCUUUAAGAACUGCUGAGCUCAAACUCGCCGAGUGUAUUAAAGCCUUUGAAAGAUCCACUGAAUGUGUCUGAUUCCUGCUUUUUAAAAUUCAGAUCAUGACAAAAAACAGAUCGUGAUGAGUGAAAGUUAUUCCUGUACUGUAAAGACGCUGUGUGGGCAGCACUGUGAGUUUGCAGACUCUUAUACAGCACACAUAUAGCUUCUUAAAGGUCUCACCGAUGCUCUCCAAGAGAAUAAAAAUUGGCAGGGAUUAAAAAUAUUGGAAUCAGUCAGCCACCUACGCUUCUUUGACCCUGCUAAUAAAUGAAAGUUUCUGGAGACCUUGACACAUCCGAGCGGCGGUUGUCUCUUCAGUUUCAUACCCCAAGGACGCGCAGAAAUAAAAAGGACCAAAUUAACCUCAUCUCAAAAACAGCCUCUCCUUUUCUGACGGGUGACAUCUGUGUCUGUGUGUUUAUGUGAACUCUGAGUUACGUAACUCCAGUCUCCCACUUCCUCAUUGUGUAACGUUAAAAGAAACCUGUGCUCCUCUGUCUAGCAGGUCUGUGCCAUUAAAAGCACUGUGCCCACUUGGCAACCGGCUGCCUGGCAAGGACACACUGGCACUUCUAGUUUUCUGCAAGCACCCACACAUACAGGCAUGAGUAAUCCCCCCGAUCAUCGUUUCCGCGAUCACGACGGCAAUUGUGCACGGCCUUUGGUGCCGCCCCGACCCAGACUGCCUCGUGUUUUUCCCUCUUCCUCAAGUAUGAUAGAGCUGAUGAAUGUCCCUUCAGCGUCUGUUGAUAUAGCUGGUCAUGGUGUUUAGGGGGGGGGCCCAUUUUCGAUAUCAUAAUCAAGUCGCAUCAAAUCCGCGAGUUCUCCGCAUUGUCUUCGGGCCUGUUCAUUUAAUGCUGCCACGGGCUUAUAAUGAGGGACACAUUGUAGAGAAAGGCGAGUAGCGAUGGGAUUUUAAUAGGCUCACUAUGGUCCACUGGCAAGGGAAAACAGUCAUUGCAUUAGUUCUCUUGGAGCGGAUAAUUUAAGUAAAGGACUGAGAGGCCGGGAUGUUGUCCGCUCGUUUGAGUUAGGUCUUAUAGAAGAGCGGCGUCGACGAGAUGGCAUGUCGUCUUUCAAUGUGGGUAAGGUGUUUGGAAUACAUUAACCUUUUCCUCAUUUGUUUUGUGUGUGUACCCUUUUUUGUUCCACCGUGAAAUGAGAAGUCUUUCCCGCUACAGGGCAAAAUCAGGAGCUCACACGGGGGGCUCACGAGGCAGAGGCAUGUGACACCUGAACAUUAGCCUUCAAUCGAAAUGAGAAAAGAUGAGGGGAAGAGGAGAGGAGUGAAGGGGGGGUGGGGAGAGACAAGAGAUGGAGAGUAUAGAAAAGGGGGCUAGGGAGGCAGUAGCGGCCUGCUCAGGGUUUUGGUAGCAGCUAUUUCUUGUCUCCCCUCGCUCAGUCUAUCUUUCCUUUCAUUCCCCGGCUCUCCGUCUCCGACCGUUAAAGCUCAGUACCUCGGGCGCUGCAAUUAUUGGUACGGUAAAAGAUGAAAGGUCACAACUGUUAGCAGAGGAGGAGGAAGUGACAGAAUGAGGAGGGAGGACAUUCCAACUUUCUAAAGCCUGAAUCGUCCAGGCUUAGAGGAGGAAAAUAAUGCAAUAAUAGCUGUCAGAAAGUGCCGUUUAUUGACUAUUCAACGGGAUAGUUCCUGACCUUUUUCCUUAUUGCCGCUCAAAACUCUAACCACUCUGAGAAAAAUGUUUUUUAAGCAAAGCUUUGACCUCACCUAGGGACAGAUUUUUUUCUGAGGGAAGACUUUUCAUACAGCCUGAAACCUGUGACUGUCGCCUGUGAUGGACAGUUUGCCAGUAAUGGUUUGAAGAGUCUGAUAAGCGUAAACUUUCUUGCUGCUUUUUUUUUCUUUCUUAGCAGGAACUGCAACAAAGAGAAAUCACACCGUUUUCAAAAUUCAAUACAUUUACAAAAGAUUAAAACCCUUUAUUCACAGAUUUUCAACAAACAAAACGGAGAAUAGCUAUCUUCUUUGCUCAGUGGGUCUGCAUGUCGCGCUAUUAGUCUCCCCAUACUGAUCAGCUCUGCCCUUUUGUUGAGAAGCCAGCUAGAAACUCAGGAAGGAUCGACCCUAAAAUAUAAUGUGACUAAUUUUAAGAAACUGCAACCAAAUACUGUAAUUUAAAGUGUAGAAAAAUAUCAUAUUUUACUUUUAUUCAAAGAUUUAACAGAUGUAUAUUCUUCUACCUGCGGCACAAUGAUCUACUCUAAGUAUGAUCAAGUUUUUAAAAAAGUGAUUCAGACACAGGACUGUCACUUUUAUCCCAAAUUCAAGUCUUUGUUCAAACUUAGAAAGUAAGGAUCACUAUAAAAUUAAAAAUCUACAAUAAGAUAAGAUGAGAAGAACUUUAUUUAUAAGUCCUGAUGAAAUAGUUUGCUGUUUGAUCCAGCAGAGGGUCCUCCCAUCGUAACCUGACCACUGCAUACACUCUUGACCUCAAUAAAUACACAAAGUGCUGUUUUCUUCUACAUCUUCUAAUACAGUAUUAAAAAGGGAUCUGUACUGAUCCAAAUCAAAUCAAAAGACUUGUGUUUGUGGUGAUUAGUUCUUUUGAAUAAGUCAGUGGACUGUUCAGACUCCCAACAAGCUGUUAGAUUGAUGUAAAUAUUGCUACGAUUCAAGAAAAAACAAUUGAAAUCCUCUUGUGUUUUCUGUUAUUUGACAUUUUCUGUACAAGAAGUCAAUUUCAUUUAGAAUCUUAUUGGGUCUCUAUUUUCAUCACAUUGUCUAACUGUUAUACUCAACUUAACAAAACCAUAAAAUGAGUCAUAAAAAUGUUCUGUGUCUGUAUUUAGUACAACUUGUUUUGUUGUUUUGUCAUGUUGUUGGUGGUACAACCCAAGUGUGUAAAACAUAUUGACCUUAUCAAGUAGUGAAAACUUUCUCAAAGAAGUGUUAAAGUUAUGUUCGAGUUUCUUAAAAGAAGCUAAAUCAGGUAACAGAGUUGAUUCUAUCUGCAGCAGUGAUAGCCGAGCUUCUAGUUCAGCUCUGGCGGCUGUAAAUAAACUGAGGGGGCAUGCUGACUGGAAUGCUCUGUUCCUAUCAGCUGCUACCUUGAAUAACCUGACUCAAAAAAAGGCAGACUAUCCCUUUAAAUAUCGGGUCUUUUGGGGGAUUAAGUGGCAAGGGAACUCUAAUGUGGGCCUCAGUGCACCAAGCUAACAGAAACCACACUGGAGAAUAAUAUCCACUUCUUUUAGUACGUCCAUGAGUACAAAAAGAGACAACACAAUCAUAUGAAACAUCUUGUACAGAAAUGGUUAACACGUUUAAUUUUCCACCUAACAAUCAUGACACAUUUUUCAAUUUUGGGGCCAAAUUACAAGUGAGAAACCAAGAUGAAAUGGGUGAAACUUGAGUGGAAUCAGUCUUUAUUUUAUUCAUAAGCAAACAUCCAGACAUGUCUUAUUCACUCAAAUAGAACCAGAGAGGAGAGCACGCACAUCUCCCAAAAAACCUCUGCAGGUGCUUGAUGAAUAAAUAAACACCAAAAAAAGAGAAGAAACAGCUCUGCAGACGGAUUUUUUUAUUCCUUUGUAGUCUUUUCAUCAAGGCAGGGUGCUGAUUCAUUCAAACUGGGAUCAGAUUGAUUUUCAAUCAUACAGAUAACAACCAUUUCAGUACAUCGUCUGGUCUGCUAGAUAGUGUUUGCAUAAGAACGCCUGAUCUAAAAACUCCAAAAGGUUGGUGAGGUACAGAAUAUGAAGACCUUGAGUCUAAUUUCUGACUUCAUACUUGGAAGUGACAAACUUUUUUGUCACUUCUAGGUUGUCUCCAGGUUGUCUGCAAUUCAGACAUUUGUGCAACUCAACUUCCAAGUCAAAACCCAGUGUGUAAACUCUAGAGCAGACCUGGGCAUUUUACGACCAGAGGGCCACAUCCAGCCUUUUGGAUGUCCCUGCCCAACCCUUUGUGAGGUCCAUCAAUCAAAUCAUCAACAUGCUAUACAAGUGUGUUGCUUUUAUUUUGGAAACCUAGCCGUUGUUUAUUUCCGUUUGGACGUACAUCCUAGAUCUGCAUUCAUGAACAGAGACAAGUUAAAACGUCUGCAAAAUAUACAUAGACGCCUUACAGUUGCCAAGUCCGCUUAUUAUAAACGACUUUAGCCCAAUCCUGCUCUAGAGUAUGCCCAGUUUUGGUCAGAUCAGAAACAUAAACAUGAAAGAGAACAUAGAUCCUGAACUGCGCUAUCCAGGUAUGGAAGUCCAACUAUUGAAAAGUUUGAUUUCGAGCAAUUUUAAGUUGGAUAAACACGUUUUCAUGUCGUUUUGAAUAAGGAUGAACUCAUGUUUUUUAGGGCCAAUACUGAUACGGAUUAUUAGUAAUCAAGGAGCACUAUAUUGGAUUGGAUGUCAGUGUAGUCAACAAGUGAGGACUAUAGACAAAGAGUGGUGACCUCAGGCAGAGAGAGGCGGCUGUUUAAGAGCCAAGUGAGCGCAUUUUUAAAUAAAAUUAUUUUAUCGACAAUCAACAGAAAAAAGCUGACGCAGAUUAUUGUAAAAAUGCUAAAUAUUGGCCGUGCCGAUAAUCGGUCAAUCCUUGGUUUUAAAGUCCAGUUUCAUUUCAGCUAAUGCAAUAAAGUGAUUUUUCAAACAAUAUGUAACAUACUAACAGAUUUACUUUAUAUAGUGUGCUGUUAGUCUAAGAGGAUUUAGCUUAAUCUCCUGACAAUGAGCAGAGGGAUCUGGUCGAGGUUAAGGGUUGGUCGUCAUGUGAUCCAAACAUAUUCUCGCUCUGUCGUGAAUAUUGGUCACCACACACAACCUCGCCAACAUUUAACCAAUCUCACUCAUAUCUGAUUUACAUCUGCGUCUCAUGUGAUCAAGUCAAAUCAAUAUCUUAAAAUCCUCCUCUGUGUGAUAAAACUGGAUUUUUUAAGCUUCAGCCCUCGUCAGAAUUUCUCUCUAAUUAUCCGCUUUUACUGCGACUCACAUGGAUAACUUUUUGGAUGCAUCCACUAGAUGGCCUUCCAGAAACUCUCCCCCUUGCCACUUCCCCAUCAGCCCCAAUACCCAAUCCUGCAGAGCUGUGUGAGGAGCUAAUGUACGGUAUUGUGAUGCAAAGUACUGUAAUUAUGGUCAUUAUUAUGGUCAUUUGCUUUUUUGGCGUGAGACCGAGGCUCAUUAGCCUUUAUGGCUGAAAUAUCUUGUGGUGCUGGUCACUGCACUCCAUUGUUUAGCAGCUGAAAGAAAGUGUGUGAGUGUUUUUGCAUCUUUGGAUUUUUUAGAGUCCAGGGCUAGCAGUCUGGACUUUAACCAUCUACAGAAAUUAAUGGGUCUCUGGUAUUGAUUCAUGACCUUAUCAACCCCCGCAGAAAUACAGCAGAUUUUUUCUUGGGUGGAAAGUAAAUGUGGUGUUUCUGUUUUUCAGCAGCACCGUAAGUCUUUACAGAGUUAAACAGCAUCCGAGAGUCCCCCCGUUAAGACUAAAGACAUGGAAGAAGGACAAGGUGAGCGCGCAACUGAACGAGGAGAUGGGAGGUAAAAAGGAUGGAUUUGGGCUGUAACUGCCCAGGCGAUUGGGUUGUAAGGGGAAGAUGAAAGACAGCUACUGCAGGCAGAGAAAUAAGCAGAAAGCCCAUCAGAGUAUAAGAGACAGCAAAUGAGGAAAUUGGAGGGAAGGUGAAAUUAAGCAGAGAGGGGGAGAAAGAGGCAAAAGGGAGUCUGGGAGAUCUAUAUGCCAGGGGAAGAGUGCUGUAUUUCAGGCCCAGUGCCUUUGUGCCAUUUGAAUCACUGCAGGUUUCUAAUGCCUCAGGCUUUUCUAUAUAAAGCUCAGACAGCUGCUGGAUUUUCCACAUUACUGCCAUGGAAUUGGAUUAAUACAAUGUCCAUCCAUGUUUUCACCAUCAUCAGGCAGCAUCCAGAGGGACCUGCUCUCUCAGGUCACCGGCCACCUGUCUCCUUCUGCUCAUUGUUAUGAGGGACAUUAGCAGGUAUGGGGACUGUACGACACUCUGCAUACAGAACAGCAUAUCAUUACGAACAAGUCUGUCAUCCAAUUAGGUAGUCCCAAAAGACUAGAGGCCAUCAUUGUUAAGAUUGCACCCCCUUCUAGAAAGACCGUUGCUACACUAGUGACUGUGUCAGAAUUCACUGAUUGGGUUUUUUCACCAUCCUGGACCGUAUGUAGUCCCUGGGUGUUUCAAGGUCCAAACCAAAGUCCAUGUUUUUGUUAAAUUUUAUACAUUUGGUUCAGUCUGUUUAGGUUUCACACUGUCAUUAUUGCAAACGGACUAACAGACUUUACAUGACAAACCUAAGUGAUAUCGUCAACUACGUGCAUUGUGUGUCUCUGUAGUUUACAUUAAUUGGUCAACACGUUGAGUAGCGUAAGUCUUGAAUAUUGUAAACAUGAAUAAAAUCGUCAUUCCCCCAUCAUAUUAUUGUUGAUUUUUAACUACCAACAGCGAUAACUUAAUGAGCUUUACAUAUGGCUGGUCUAAGUUUGUCUUAUGAAUUUGAUCAUUAGACAACAUUGUUGACGUCAUUAGACGACAACUCUAUCGUCGUUGACAGGAAAGGAAAAGAAAGUAUGUGAUCCUGCGAGCCACUGCAACACCGACUCUGGAGAGAAAGUAUGUAUUGUAAAACUCUUGAAAAGAUAAGCUAUCAAUAGUGAAGUAUCUACAAUAUUGUAAAUUACGUCUCCAGCACGCACAAUAACGAACAUUUCCACUCCUUGAGUCAUUUCCUGUCUUUGGUACGAAGAUCCAACCCUUUUAAAAUAAUGCUUUUCACACUGGGCAUGAACCAGACCAUGGUUCAGUUUGGUCCGGACGGAGACCACCUCUUUUGGUCGGACCAAAGUCCGGCUGUUUGGUCCUGGGGAAGUUUCACAUCUAUCAUUUUGAUUUGGACUAAACAGAAAAGUCAGAAAGUCUGGACCAAACAACGUAGGUGAAAGCUCCCUCUGUGACCACCACUGGUGACUAAAAGGGCUCAGUAAACAAGACAAUGGCGUCGACCCUUUAGGGUUUAAUUUACCAACCCUGAAUUUACAAUAACGCCACUUCUAUUUCCAGACGUAUUUCAAAGGAAAAUCCUGAUCUUAUAUUUGAAUCCAAACAACUACCACAGUUUAUCCAUAAAGAAUCAAUGAGGUUUAACCCUGAGUUAGCAGCAUAAGAAGAGACUUAGUUUUUUAAGACCUUAAUGGUCAGGCAUAUGUUAAAAGCCUGUAACUUCUUUAUUAACCUUCAAUCACAUCUUCCCAUUAGAAGUCUGAAGUAUCAAGAUAUCAGACUCAGAUCACAUCACACAGCUCAUAUGCAGACAGCCUCAGGCUUCUGUGGAACAACUCAAUUACCACAUUUCCAUCAUGUCUUUCCCCAUACGUACCGCAAGUAUCUCUCAAUCACCUUCAUGAUCUGUUAGGUCGAGAUGGAAAAACUUCAUUCAAAGCUGCAACAAGAAACUGGCUGAAACUCAUGAACAUCAAAUCGACGAGGGAUGUCUUUCAUGACGACAAUCAAGGUACAGCUUUUUUCAGUUUUCCCUCCAUUUUCUUGCUGAAAGAGACUAAAAUUCUGAACCUCAGCUCCAAUAUCUUCUAAACUCCAUAAGGGAUCAUUUUCAUGUCUCCACUUGGUCCCUCUUGACGUCCAUGAAGAUAGUCAGACGUAUGAAGGGGAGUAUUAUUUGUUUUUUUGGCAAUCUGGUUCCUACUUCUUUCACUGUAUCCCUGAGUGUCUGCAUCGCUUUCACACAUUCGUCCGCCUUGUAUAGCUUAUCAGGUCCAGUAGUUAUUUCUCUUAAAGAGGAUAAAAAAAGAGAAGGAGAAACUUUGGCACUUUAAUUCACCUCAUCGAGACGACUCUUGGGUGCUACAAGGUUGUGAAAGCUGAUAGGAAAACAUUCUUGACAUUCUAUGAUAGCCCUCCUUAGAGGACCGGGUCAUUUCUUUUUGGACAAACAAAAUCUCAACCCUAUCGCUGUUAGCCAGAGGAUUGCCACCAAACCAGCAGUGCUGAGCACUCUCAGCUGAGUACCAGAGGAAAAGAUUGAGGCUCAGCUCAGCUUCAAAUAUGCCAAAGAUCUGACCCAUAAGGGCACUUUUGGGUGUUUUUUUUUUCUUUGGCUUGGGCUGAAAAUUCAUCCACAGCUUGAUUUACUUCAGAUAUCACUCCCUAUAUUAAAAAUUACAAUGAUAUAAAGUCAGCAAACGAUGAUCAUCUUUUACUAUUUGAGAGUUUGUUAUCACCAACGGGCCUUCACAUUCAAGCUAGCUUGAGCCUACUGGGUGGCUCAUUGUUACGGGUUGUUAUCCAGGGAAAACAUAUGGACAGUGGCAAACUCAGUCUGUCUGAGGGGCAGGGGCACAAAGGUUUGAAAGGGCACCAGCUGUAUGCAGUGAAGCGACAGAGUGCAGAGGAAGUGAUGCAUAUGUGGAGGUUUUUAUGAGUCAGAUUUAAAUGCAUCUUUAAAAAAAUCUAAAAGAUGGACUGCAGGGAUAUUGGCAACUAUUACAUUAUAUUAAUGGAAGAGAGCCCGACAAAUAUCCUAGCAUGUAGAGCUGCAUCAUAUUUGCUUUACUGGAAGGAAAUCUAAGAUGCAUCAUUAUUUCCUUUUGGCAAAGCAGACAGUAUUUGACACACAUGUGUUUGUCUCUAUUUGAAGGUUGACUUUAUGGACACUCCAACACAUCCUCUCCUUGGAUCCUGUUUUUUCCCCUGAAGGGGGCACUCUAUAGGCCACUUUAUCAAAUCCACAUACUCAAAAGUGUCUCCUGGAAGGUCUUCUAACAUGUUCUCAACUGGAGGCCAACGCACAGGACAAGCUUCUGUAUAAUUUUUCUGUCAAUAUUAGACAGGGAGAGAAUUGUAAAUCAAGACUAUUUUUAUUUUAAUUUAACCAGGUUGGUCCCAUUGAGAUUACAAAUCUCUUUUACAAGAGAGACCAGGAGGCCAAGAGGGCAGCAGCAUCGUUCCUACAACAGAUGAAGUUCACAACAUCUCAACAUUAAAACAAUCUCAUGUAAAACAUUCACACACAGAUGAGGUAGAUUGUAAUGAUUUCACUAAAGUUUUAAAUUCAUUUUGUGUCACAAGAGCUUGAAGGCGAAGUUCAGACUAUAGUUUGUUCCAGGUAUGAGAUGCUGAAAACCUGAAACCUUUCAUGCCCAGUUCAGUUCUUCCUUUGGGGACAACAAACUGUAGAAAGACUAGCAGCAGUUCUCCGACUCAUAUAAUUACUUUUGUAGUCUUCCUGGUGCAGUGAAGUUGAGUUGAGCCUAGAGAGGCAUGUUUAUCCCGGGAUACCAAAAGACGAGGACACCAUCACUGUUAUAACCUGAGCUCUGUCCCCCUGCAUUGACAUAACCUCUGAGUGUUUAUUUGUUUUUAGGUGCACAUGGUUGGAGAAAACUUGAACAUGCACACUCAAGCCUGGUCUUCUUGAGUUGAAAGGUCUAAAUCCACUGUGUAAAUAGUAACACCCCUGUCUCCCAGUGCACCCAGCUUUUAAAAGUAAUGAACAGAUAUAAUGAUGAGUUUGAUUCAUGUCACUUUAGAAAACAUUUCUGAAUAUUUUAGGAUCCUGAGCUUCACUUUUCAGAUUCUGCACUAAAUGGAAAUAUAUUGUGAGGCCUCGAGACGAUGCCCUUUAGAUCAUUUCUGCAGAGUCCAUCAACUAAAACCUUCUGCUUCAACACCAAUAUGAUUCCAGUUAAGGUGUCUGACAUGUAAUUAUAAAACGGAGACUAAUACUCAUGCAGAUCAGGUCACUAGCAUGACAUUACUUGUACAGUGUGCGUGCUCCAACCGCGGGUGUGACUGCGAGAAAAGGUCAAAUAAUCACAUGUCCUGUCUUUGCUAGCGUCACAUCUUUCGGACACGAGGGUCAUACGACAUUAGAAUCUCUGCAUUGUCCUUUUUUUGUGCCUGCUUUUAUGAUGUCUUCAUGUACAAUCACCACAAGUUAAGUUUUAUUCAGGGGACUCACAAAUGCUUGGAAAUUUGGGUGAAAAAUUAGGUGUUAAAAGUACUUUGAAGCAUUUAACAGGGUGAUCUGCUGCUGUUUGUGUUAUUGCUUACAAGUCAGUAACAGCUUGAUAGCAAACAAAGAUGGUAAAUUCAACAUAAAACUGUUAUUUAAUCGUAACCAACAGUCAAGUCAAUCAAACGUAUAACUUAUGUGUUGUAUUACUCCCAUCUGAGCUUCUAAUUAAUUUCUGGACUGCUGUAAAGCCCGUCUGUCUUAUCUCCUCUCAUUGAUUUAAGUAGUUAAUUUUAUACUCUGUCGAUGCAGGUUUAACUUCACAGCUGUGUUAUUGAUUUAGCCAUUACACAUUUUCUCAUUAUAAGACUGUGGGUGCCCAAUACAAUAACGUUGAAUUUUCAAGUUGAACAACAGCUUACAAAGAGUGUUUUAGUGAACAAAAGUAGAGUGCUGUUGCUUUAAAAUGCAAAACUUAUUUAAUUUUUGAUGUCCAAAGUGUAAAUCAGACUGAAAUCCUUAAAUGAAAGUUUCAACUAAGAUAUAUCUGAGGAACUCUUUUGCAUUCAUGCCACUGAUGUUGGUUUCAAAUGGACUUGGAUAGCAUAUAAAAACUCAUUUUUCAUUCUUGAUGAAGAGAUCUUUUCAUCAAUCAUUCAUCGCUAAACCAAUAGAUUUUUUUUAAAUAUGGCUAAAGAGAAACAGUUGACUGCCAAUGAAGCAGUGGGUUGUUGGGGGAUGCUUGCCAUGUUCAAUGUCAGAAGGACGUCACGAAUUUCUCAUUUCUUCCAGCUUUAACUUGUGCCUGCAUAUGCUCCAUUUACCUACUUUUUUUUUCUAUUUAGAGAUUAAAUUUGUCCCAGAAUCACAAGAAGUCAAGAGAACCAAGGACGAAGCAGCAGCAGCUCAUAACACGCCAAAAGCAGAGAGCUGAAGACAAUCCAAUUCAAAGGGAAAUCACUGCCUUCACUCCAACUAACUUGUUAGUGUUUCAUCGGUGGGAGGAAACCUACACAAACACAGGGCGAAUGUGGAACUGUCCACACAGACACAAGGACUGAACCUUGUUGCUGUGAGAUGACAGUGCCAACCGCUGAGCCACCACGCCACCUCCGUGCUGGUGGGUAAGGAUGUGAACGUUUGGCAAAGAAUCCGUCACGUUCAGACCGAAAAGGGUAAAUGUUUUGCAGGCAAGCAGAGCCAUCUGGUGUGUGGUGGAGACACCAGCUGGGAGGCAGGAAGACGGGUUCAAUGGGCCUGCGAGAAAAUGGCAGGAGUGAGCGGGUGAGCGCUCUGAAUCAGGUGAUUUUUCACGAACUGGGCGAGAGGUCCGGUGAAUCACUGUUGUAGUGGAUGGCACCUGCUCUGUGCUGAUGCUCCGGUCUCCUGCUGAGAGCAGGGUGACUGGGAGCACGAAUCAAGCUCAACUUUUCGGGUGUGAAAAUAGUUUUUUGGUUGUUUCUCCUAAGACAAAAGGACACAGACAGUCAAGAGAGUCAAAGGUUGUAAACUAAUCCUCUGGACUUCACCAACUUAGUUCAGUUUACAGUUUUGUUCAACUUUUCUGUUUAACACUUUGGGGCAACUAAAACUGUGUCCUACCACAUUAAAACCUCUAAAGCGAACAAUAAAACUCAUUAACUUCCCAACUAACAAAAACUUCAUUGGAGCGUCAUUAAAACACAGAUGCUUUUUUAAAAAGGGAGCAGAGGAAACGCAUCAGAAGCAAGAAUAUGGCC